GAAACCAACAGGGAUUGCCCUAGUAACGGCGAGUGAAGCGGCAACAGCUCAAAUUUGAAAUCUGGCCUUCGGGUCCGAGUUGUAAUUUGUAGAGGAUGCUUUUGGUGCGGUGCCUUCCGAGUUCCUUGGAACAGGACGCCUUAGAGGGUGAGAGCCCCGUACGGUUGGACACCAAGCCUUUGUAAAGCUCCUUCGACGAGUCGAGUAGUUUGGGAAUGCUGCUCUAAAUGGGAGGUAAAUUUCUUCUAAAGCUAAAUACCGGCCAGAGACCGAUAGCGCACAAGUAGAGUGAUCGAAAGAUGAAAAGUACUUUGAAAAGAGGGUUAAAUAGCACGUGAAAUUGUUGAAAGGGAAGCGUUUAUGACCAGACCUUUGCCUGGCGGAUCAUCCGGUGUUCUUCACCGGUGCACUUCGCCUGGCUUAGGCCAGCAUCGAUUUCUGUAGGGGGAUAAAGACCAUGGGAACGUAGCUCUCUUCGGGGAGUGUUAUAGCCCUAGGUGUAAUGCCCUUACGGGGAUCGAGGUUCGCGCUUCGGCAAGGAUGCUGGCAUAAUGGUCAUCAACGACCCGUCUUGAAACACGGACCAAGGAGUCGAACAUUUAUGCGAGUGUUUGGGUGUUAAACCCUCACGCGUAAUGAAAGUGAACGGAGGUGAGAGCCUUUUAGGUGCAUCAUCGACCGAUCCUGAUGUCUUCGGAUGGAUUUGAGUAAGAGCAUAACUGUUCGGACCCGAAAGAUGGUGAACUAUGCGUGGAUAGGGUGAAGCCAGAGGAAACUCUGGUGGAGGCUCGCAGCGGUUCUGACGUGCAAAUCGAUCGUCAAAUCUGCGCAUGGGGGCGAAAGACUUAUCGAACCAUCUAGUAGCUGGUUACCGCCGAA
rnacentral:rRNA from 1 species